UGGGGAAUAUUGCACAAUGGGCGCAAGCCUGAUGCAGCCAUGCCGCGUGUAUGAAGAAGGCCUUCGGGUUGUAAAGUACUUUCAGUCGGGAGGAAGGUGUCAAGGUUAAUAACCUUGGCAAUAGACGUUACCGACAGAAGAAGCACCGGCUAACUCCGUGCCAGCAGCCGCGGUAAUACGGAGGGUGCAAGCGUUAAUCGGAAUUACUGGGCGUAAAGCGCACGCAGGCGGUUGAUUGAGUCAGAUGUGAAAUCCCCGGGCUUAACCCGGGAAUUGCAUCUGAUACUGGUCAGCUAGAGUCUUGUAGAGGGGGGUAGAAUUCCAUGUGUAGCGGUGAAAUGCGUAGAGAUGUGGAGGAAUACCGGUGGCGAAGGCGGCCCCCUGGACAAAGACUGACGCUCAGGUGCGAAAGCGUGGGGAGCAAACAGG
rnacentral:rRNA from 1 species